CUCACCUGCAAAACCAGCCCAGUUUGAGUGACAAAUACUUGUUGGGUGAGCUUCCAUCAUUAUGCCAGACAUCAAGUUAGGUAUUUAGAUAUGUUAUCUUUAAUGUUUACACUAUCUUUAAUGCUUAUAUUAACUCUGAAAAGGAGGUCUUAUGUUCAUCGUACAGAUCAGAAAGUGGUAUUGAAGGGAGACACCAGCAGACGGAUCUAAUCACUGGGGGUAAGAAGAGAAAGACACAAAGGGGAGGUGUUAAAGGUAGGACUGGAGCUGUACAGUUUUGUGCUUUU
rnacentral:lncRNA from 1 species